rnacentral:rRNA from 1 species
UACAGAGGGGGCAAGCGUUGUUCGGAAUUACUGGGCGUAAAGGGCGCGUAGGCGGCCUUCUAAGUCGAACGUGAAAUCCCCGGGCUCAACCCGGGAACUGCGUCCGAUACUGGAAGGCUUGAAUCCGGGAGAGGGAUGCGGAAUUCCAGGUGUAGCGGUGAAAUGCGUAGAUAUCUGGAGGAACACCGGUGGCGAAGGCGGCAUCCUGGACCGGUAUUGACGCGUGAGGCGCGAAAGCCA